GAAUAUUGCGCAAUGGAGGAAACUCUGACGCAGCAACGCCGCGUGGGUGAUGAAGGUCUUCGGAUCGUAAAGCCCUGUUCGGAGGGAAGAAAUUUGACGGUACCUCCGAAGAAAGCCCCGGCUACCUCCGUUCCAGCAGCCGCGGUAAUACGGAGGGUGCAAACGUUGGUCGGAAUCAUUGGGCGUAAAGCGCGCGUAGGCGGCCGAGCAGGUCGGGUGUGAAAGCCCGGGGCUCAACCCCGGAAUUGCGCUCGAAACCGGUUGGCUCGAGUCCCGGAGGGAGAAGUGGAAUUCCAGGUGUAGGGGUGAAAUCCGUAGAUAUCUGGAGGAACACCAGUGGCGAAGGCGACUUCUUGGCCGAGGACUGACGCUGAGGUGCGAAAGCGUGGGGAGCAAACAGG
rnacentral:rRNA from 1 species